UACGGAGGGUGCGAGCGUUGUCCGGAAUCAUUGGGCGUAAAGGGCGCGUAGGUGGCCCGGUCAGUUCGUGGUGAAAGCGCGGGGCUCAACCCUGCGUCGGCCAUGAAUACUGCCGCGGCUGGAGCACUGUAGAGGCAGGCGGAAUUCCGGGCGUAGCGGUGGAAUGCGUAGAGAUCCGGAAGAACACCGGUGGCGAAGGCGGCCUGCUGGGCAGUUUAGCUGACACUGAGGCGCGACAGCGUGGGGAGCAAACAGG
rnacentral:rRNA from 1 species